rnacentral:rRNA from 1 species
GAUGAACGCUGACAGAAUGCUUAACACAUGCAAGUCUUUGGCGAAGCUGUGCUCGCACAGCCUAGCCAAGGCGGACGGGUGAGUAACGCGUAAGGAACUUGCCCUGCAGUCAGGGAUAACAGACGGAAACGACUGAUAAGACCUGGUAAAGUCAGGCGGACUCAUGUCCAGCCUGAUGAAAAGAGAUGCUGCAGGAGAGCCUUGCGUCCUAUUAGCUUGUUGGUGGGGUAACGGCCCUCCAAGGCGAUGAUAGGUAGCCGGCCUGAGAGGGUGGACGGCCACAAGGGGACUGAGAUACGGCCCUUACUCCUACGGGAGGCAGCAGUGGGGAAUAUUGGACAAUGGGGGCAACCCUGAUCCAGCAAUUCUGUGUGCACGAUGAAGGUUUUCGGAUUGUAAGGUGCUUUCAGCAGGGAAGAAAAAAAUGACGGUACCUGCAGAAGAAGCGACGGCUAAAUACGUG